rnacentral:rRNA from 1 species
AGUUCGAUUCUGGCUCAGAUUGAACGCUGGCGUGGAUGUUUUACACAUGCAAGUCGAACGGCAGCACGGACUUCGGUCUGGUGGCGAGUGGCGAACGGGUGAGUAAUGUAUCGGAACGUGCCUAGUAGGAUAACUACGCGAAAGCGUAGCUAAUACGCAUGUCGGUUCUUCGGGGGAAAGCGGGGAUCUUCGGGCUCGCACUAUUAGGAGCGGCCGAUAUCGAUUAAUGGUUGGUGGGGUAACGCUCACCAAGGCGACGAUCCGUAGCUGGUUUGAGAGGACGACCAGCCACACUGGGACCGAGACACGGCCCAGACUCCACGGAGGCAGCAGGGAAUUUUGACAAUGGGGGAAAUCCUGAUCCAGCCAUCCCGCGGUGAUGAAAUACUUCGGGUUGUAAAGCACUUUAGAGGAAAGAACGGCACGGGAUAAUACCCCGUGCAACUGACGGUACCUGCAGAAUAAGCACCGGCUAACUAUUGUGCCAGCAGCUGCGUAAUACGUAGGGUGCAAGCGUUAAUCGGAAUUACUGGGCGUAAGCGUGCGCAGGCGGUUCGGAAAGAAAGAUGGAAAUCCCACCAGAGCUAACUUCUUGGUGUCCGCAUUUUUAACUACCGAGCUAGAGGUACGCGAGGGAGGAACCCGCGUGUAGCAGUGAAAUGCGUAGAUAUGCGGAGGAACACUGAUGGCGCCAGCGCAGCCUCCUGGGAUAACACUGACGUCAUGCACGGUACCAUGUGGGGAGCAAAACAGGAUUAGAUAACGGUGUGGUCCACGCCCUAAACGAUGUCAACUAGCUGUUGGGGCCUCGGCCUGGUAGCGCAGCUAUAAUGCGUGAAGCGACCGCCUGGGGAGUACGGUCGCAAGAUUAAAACUCACGCUGGCAACUGGGAUGACCCGCACAAGCGGUGGAUGAUGUGGAUUAAUUCCGAUGCAACGCGAAAACCUUACCUACUCCUUGGCGUGAUGAUGUCUGAAUCCCGAAGAGAUUUGGGAGUGCUCGCAAGAGAACCGGAACACAGGUGCUGCAUGGCUGUCGUUCGGGCUCGUGUCGUGAGAUGCUGGGUUAAGUCCGCAACGAGCGCAACCCUUGUCAUUAGUUGCUACGAAAGGGCACCCCAUCGACUGCCGGUGACUGAGGAAGGUGGGGAUUCAAUGUCAAGUCCUCAUGGCCCUUGCGGGUAGGGCGUUCCAAGACGUCAUACAAUGGUCGCCGACAGAGGGUCACCAACCAUGAGGGGAGCCAAUCCCAGUAAACCCGAUCGUAGUCCGGAUCGCAGUCUGCACCGACUUGGGAAGUCGGAAUCUCAGCAAGAAUCGCGGAUCAGCAUGCUGCGGUGCGGAACACUGCCCCUGGCCUCGCCACACUGCCCGUCACACCAUGAGCGGUUUACCGAAGUAGCGAAUGAACCGUAAGGAGGGCGAUUACUACCAGGAUUCAGACUGGGGUGAAGUCGUAACAAGGUAA